rnacentral:lncRNA from 1 species
AUGUAAUUAAUAAUUUGCUCUCUUGUUAAGCAUUAAGCAAGUAUGCACAGGAAAAGAGUCAAAAUAUUUCGUAAUUAGCCAUGUAUGUAGAAGCCAAAGCAUUAAAAAUUCAAAACAUUUUUGUUUUGAUAUGUAUUUUUACAUGUGUAAAAAAUACAAAAAAAAAAAUUAUAAAUAGAUUAGUUCAGUUUGUUUUGCUAGAGUACGAAGACAAGGAGAUUGGAUUCUAUGAGAAACUUCAUUAUUUUAUAAAAAUACUUAGGAGCCACCGAACAAAGAAACCUACGCACUUUAAGUUUAAGAGAAUAAUUUCUCCCAAGCGCAUUUUCUGUUGAGCAACGUCGCUCGAUAAAUUAAGAAAUUAAAAAUUUAUUUAAAUAUGGAGCAAAAUACUUAAGAGAAAUUAUUCUCUUGAACUCAAUGUGUGUAUGUUCGAUUCACAGUCACUAUUGGAAGAAAAUAUAUAUUAGGUGCAUGGAAUUCGAAGGAAAAUCAUAUUUAUAGAAUGGUCUUGAAAACUUUGCUCUACUGCCUAUGUGUUGUAUCCCUCUUUCAAGUCCCAGUCUCUUACUCCUUCCCUACUUCUGACUAUACCUAUUUAUUCAAUGAUUUAGUUAAUUUGUAUCCAAGGAUACAGGACUGCAGAACUGUUAUUACACAUAGAGUACAAUCCAACGAUCUUUUAAACACACUUCAUUCCAUGAAUCUAAGUGUUAUUCAGGAUAAUCCAAAAUUCCCAGCCAAGAAGUUUAAACCCUAUGUAAGGAGUAUGAAGAAUUGCUACUUCUCUGUGAGCAAUGAUCCAAAGGCAUUGAGGCGUAAUGAGGAUUUUAGUUUUACUAAUGGGUUAGCUGAUCAUAGCUUAUUUAAUUUAAUGAUAAAAGAGUUAUCGAUCAAAAGUACAAUAGGAUCUAAAA